UCCCUGGUGGCUCAGACGGUAAAGCAUCUGCCUGCAAUGCAGGAGACUCGGGUUCAAUCCCUGGGUGGGGAA
rnacentral:tRNA from 1 species